rnacentral:rRNA from 1 species
UUCCUACGGGAGGCAGCAGUGAGGAAUAUUGGUCAAUGGAGGCAACUCUGAACCAGCCAUGCCGCGUGCAGGAAGACUGCCCUAUGGGUUGUAAACUGCUUCUAUACAGGAAGAAACUUAUCCACGUGUGGGUAACUGACGGUACUGUACGAAUAAGGACCGGCUAACUCCGUGCCAGCAGCCGCGGUAAUACGGAGGGUCCAAGCGUUAUCCGGAAUCAUUGGGUUUAAAGGGUCCGUAGGCGGGCGAUUAAGUCAGAGGUGAAAUCCCACAGCUCAACUGUGGAACUGCCUUUGAUACUGGUUGUCUUGAGUUACAGUGAAGUAGAUAGAAUAUGUAGUGUAGCGGUGAAAUGCAUAGAUAUUACAUAGAAUACCGAUUGCGAAGGCAGUCUACUAACUGUCGACUGACGCUAAGGGACGAAAGCGUGGGGAGCGAACAGGAUUAGAUACCCUGGUAGUCCACGCCGUAAACGAUGGUCACUAGUUGUUGGGGCAAUUGCCUCAGUGAUUAAGCGAAAGUGAUAAGUGACCCACCUGGGGAGUACGAUCGCAAGAUUGAAACUCAAAGGAAUUGACGGAA